GGAGCCGUAGUUCAGCGCGGUUAGAACGCUGGCCUGUCAAGCCAGAGGUCGCGGGUUCAAGUCCCGUCGGCUCCGCCA
rnacentral:tRNA from 1 species